AGAGUUUGAUCAUGGCUCAGAACGAACGUUGGCGGCGUGGAUUAGGCAUGCAAGUCGAACGAAUCUCUUGGCUUCGGCCAAGAGGGAAGUGGCGAAAGGGGCAGUAAGGUAUGGGUUACCUACCCUGUGGUUCGGGAUAGCCAUCCUAACGGAUGGGUAAUACCGAAUAAUAUGGCAACAUCAAAGAAUUUCGCCAUAGGAGGGGCUCAUAUAGUAUUAGCUAGUUGGUGAGGUAAUGGCUCACCAAGGCGAAGAUGCUUAGCUGGUGUGAGAGCAUGACCAGCGCCACUGGGACUGAGACACUGCCCAGACUCCUACGGGAGGCUGCAGUCGAGAAUCUUCGGCAAUGGGCGAAAGCCUGACCGAGCGACGCCGCGUGUGUGAUGAAGGCCUUCGGGUUGUAAAGCACUGUCGAGGGGGAGAAAUCAAUGAUCGAUCCCUGGAGGAAGCACGGGCUAAGUUCGUGCCAGCAGCCGCGGUAAGACGAACCGUGCUAACGUUGUUCGGAAUCACUGGGCUUAAAGGGCGCGUAGGCGGCUCAUCAAGUCAGAGGUGAAAUCUUUCGGCUUAACCGGAAAAGUGCCUUUGAUACUGAUGGGCUCGAGGGAGGUAGGGGCAGAUGGAACUUCCGGUGGAGCGGUGAAAUGUGUUGAUAUCGGAAGGAACGCCGGUGGCGAAAGCGAUCUGCUGGAUCUCUACUGACGCUGAGGCGCGAAAGCCAGGGUAGCGAACGGGAUUAGAUACCCUAGUAGUCC
rnacentral:rRNA from 1 species